GUUAUUUUUGGUGUAUGAAUCAUGUCUAAUUAUGGAUCCUACAGUAGAUGAGCCAAUCUGGACUGACUUUUGUUAACACACAGUCAUGACCACAUUCAAGUUGCUUUUGUGCUGGAUGGUUUCCAGACACUGCAAUAGCAUCUUUCAGAAAAGAGCUUUUAUUAUCUGUAAAGCUGAUGGGGUUCAAGGAGCAUUUGGACACCGCUUUCAGACAUAGAGUUUGGUUUUUGGGUGGUGCUAUGCAGAGUCCUGGUUUGGACUCAGUGAUCUUUGUGGGUCCUUUCCAGUUCAGGAUAUUCUAUGGUUUUAUGGUUCAGAAACAAAGGAAGUGUGGAUGGUGUUUAUCCAACCUAAAAUCUUUGAGGUUUGGAGUUUGUCUUGAAUUUUGCUGGUGUCUUUCUUACCUCCUCAAAACUGAAAGGAAGAAGCAAAGAAGAAAUGACAGGUAGGGAUACCAGAUGUUCAAAUUUGAGAUCCUUCAGGAAGAUUAAGUGAUGAUUGGUUUCCAAACAUUUUUUGGAAGGGUAUGCCAAAAGAGUGGAACAUUUCUACACUUUAAAUCUGCACUUUGGAGUGUGGUAUUGUGACGAUGGAAAUUUGCUUUGAUGUAAUGUUUGCUGUCCUGGACUGUGUGAGAGACUGUCAAGCAUAUCUCAGGAGCAGCAGGCAUUUCUGGUAAAUGCAUGCAGAAGCCAGUCACCUCUAUGUUUAAAACUUAAGUAUAUGCCGGUUUACAUCUUAUUUUAUAGUUCUCAGUGGUACAGUUUGCCAGAUGAGAAGUCUGAUCUCCCCUCCAGCACUCCACCCCAAUUCCAAGUGGUUCUGAAAGUGUCACAGAAUCUUAAAUACACAAAAUAGUAGGGGUUGGAGGGCAUCUCUGGAGAUCAUAGAGUCCAACCCCCUGCUAAAGCUGGUUCCCUACAGUAGGUCAGGAAAGCAUCCAGAUGGAUGUUGAUGGCCAGAGAAGAAGACUCCACAACCUGGGAUGCCCUUUCUAGUGCUCCUUCACUCUGACAGUAAAUAUGUUUUUCUUCAUGUUUGUGUUGAAAUUCCUGUCUUCCAGUUUGUGCCUAUCACCCCUUGUCCUGUCACUGGGCACCACUGAAAAGAGCCUGGCCCCAUCCACUCAACUCCUGCCCUUUAGAUAUUUGUAAGCAUUGAUUAGAUCCCCCUUCAGCCUCCUCCAGGCUGAACAGUCACAGGCCUUCCUCAUAAGGGUGAUAGAUGCUCCAGGCCUCUCUUCACCUUCAUGACCCUUCGCAGCAUUCUAGAAUUUCCCUGGGGAGUCCAGGACUAGAGUUUAGGCUUAAACCCUGACAAAUGGUUUUAAUGAAUGAAUACAGCAUGUUUUAAAGCAUUUCUUUUAAAGAUAUUUUGUCUUUGUAAAGAAUAUUUUUGGUAAGGAAUAGCCUUGGCUUUAACAUAAAGAUAAUUAUCACUCAGAAUUAUUCUACAUUGCAAUUCCUAAGUGACUCAUGCUCUUGACUUUCCCAUCCAUGCCUGCAAGAUAGUGAGAUGCAUGCAAAAUGAAUAUACUGGUUAAAUUUCCACUCAUGAAAAUCCAGUCAUAAGGAUUUAAUGCUAUAUCAGCCACUAGGAAUGUAGUGAACCCACUGCAUACAUGUAAAUCUAAGUUUAUAGAAAGACUGCCUGAAUCGGUAAUUAUAAGUCAAAAAGGAGGCCUAACUAUAUGAAAACACUUCAGAAAAUUUCAAAUAUACCUCCAGCAUGCAAAGUGGCCCUAUGUAUGCUUUCCAGAUAUUGGAUGCUUUUGAGCUCAAAAACCUCUGCAAGGUAUAAAGCAAAGCAUCAAGGAAAAAUAGAGGAUUGUUCCAGAAUAAUUUCUGGUAAACAAUUUUCUGCUUUCCAGUUUGCUUUGUUUAGACAAAUUCCUUUCAAAGGUCUCUGUGUCUCUUAGAAAUAUAUCUUUUUAUUUUUUUUUUUACUUUUUUUUUUCCCCUUUGGCUGUCAAUUUAUUUUCUAUUAAAAAAAAAAAAAAGAAAAAAAAAAACAAAUUUGGCUGUAGGAUUCAUCCUUUCCUCAGCCAGUGAGGGCUGACUGCUGAUUGCUCCCUUUGAGGAGCCCUGAAAACAGUCAUUUCAUUUAUUGCAGUUGUAGCAGUAAUGAACUGCUCACAGCUGAUGCUUGUGUGCAGCCUGUGAUUCAUGAAGAACACAGAAUAUAAUUCCAGCAUACUCAGAAAUGCCACUUUGAAAAGAAUUUAAUGACACAUUUCUUUUGCAAUAUUCAGACAGAAAAGACUCAAGUGAGGAGAGAUGGAUGGCAGAGGAAUAUCAGGACUUCACAAGAUAAUGUGUUCAGUACAGAAAGGAAAAUAUUUUAGCAAAACUUUCUGAUUUAACUACAUUUGUGAGACAAUAUAUUACCUUUUCACACUCUCCUUGUUUUAUGUAUGUUUGUGUUCCACAAAAUUAAACUGAGGACAGAUUUUAUUGUAGAGAAUAGAGAGAAGUGCAGUUUAUUUUCAUUUUUAUGUACUUCAUUGGAAAUUACUUAAAGAAUAUUAUUUCAGAGCAUUAUUCAAAAAUUGUCAUUUACUAUGCUCACCGGUAGUGUUCUAUAAAACUAUAAACUUCUCAGCCUCCGGAUAUCAAUGUUAUGUUGUUAUGAGUUUACUAGGAAGUAAACUCCUUUAUCAUUCUUUUGCUUUGUUAUCAAGUAAAGAUUUUUAUAAAUUUGAAGACAGGUCCAUUGAAUAUAUAAAUAACAUAAAUGUUUUCUGAAUAAUGUGUGUAGUCUUUUGAGGAAACUGAGCUACUGUAAGAAGAGAGAGAAAACUUUGUGUAUCAGGCUAUUACGCAGUUUCUAGUUACUGCUAGUUUGGUUAUACCAUCUGUCCAUUUGUUUUCUUUUAUGUUUCUGGUUUGGUUUACUGACUGUGCUUGCAGUCUGAGCCUUUACAACAUACUGAUUGAACUCAACAGAUCAGGUUGGAAGUUGGAUUUUGGAGGUCUUUCCCAGCAUAGAUGAUUCUAUGUACAUACAAAACUUUUCCAUUUCUCAGGUACCUUCCAGCCUUCACUAAUGACUGAUCAGCCACUAAAACAAAUAGGUAAUGACCAUGUGAAGUGAAAAUGCUAAGUCAUGGCUUGAAACAGUGAUAGAGCACCUGAUGAGAAGGCAGAGCCAACCCAAAGGAGCUCAGGUGCAUGCAAUACAAUGGAUCCUGGCUCCACCCCUUCCCAGACCUCAUUUAAGGGUUGGCAGCAGAGACAAGGCUAUCUUGCUGGAGAUCCUUGUGUACUAGAGGCUUUAUAAGGAGCUCCGUCAAAAGGAGAAAGAAAUUAGAUAACAAGUGCAUGCAUGUGUGAGUGCUUGUGGGACUAAAUUCAUGUGAAAUACUGGACCUGAUUGCUGGGCUCAUAAAAAGCAAGGGGAGAAAAUGGGAAGAACCAGACUAAGAAACCUCUUGGGAUGAGUUAAACAUGGGAAAAUUGCUCACUGGUUACUAUCACAGACAGAACAAACUCAAACUUAACUAUCUUAAGGCUGUUUUAUUCCUUUGCUCCAAACUACCAGCUUCCCACACCAAGUGGUGCAGCAGCAGAUUCUGAAGUUUUCUUGGACAUAUGAAGAGCUGUGAAGAAGUUGGACAUUUAACAACAACAACAGAUUCUGAUCUCCUUUCUCUGUCCUAUUCUAACAAUGAUUGAAAACAUCAUUUUGAGUAUCUUUUCAUCCUUUAAAAAGUCAUAAAAACAAAAACCAGGUCUGUGCUAUUGCUCUGUAACUACAAUUCAGUUUUCUUCCAGUGUGAAAAAGCCAUAAAAGUAUACAGUAUCUUUCCUUCUCUGUUCAUUUUAAGGUUCAAUUUGGUAUAUUUAUGGCAAUUAUAUAAACAUAAUUUUAGUCAUGUCUUUCACUUCAGAAAUAAUUGUUUAUAGAGUAAUUACUAAUAAGAGAGCAUUUCUGGUGAAUGUGAAUGCUAAUUAACUAGGUCUUCCCAAGGUGUCUUUACUGAAGACAUGUUAUUGAUCACUGAAGCUAAGUUGGGAAAAUUCAUCAAGUCUCCUGGAAACUGUUCUCUGUUUAAGAUAUAAAUAUUUUUUUAAAAAUUCAAAUAUUUAAGAGUAAAAUGUGUGUGAAUUCCUUAAAGCCAUCAGUGCACCUUACUCUUGUAAGGCUUUUAUUCUUGUGUAGAUCAUAGAAUCAUCUGAGAUAGAUACUUGCUGUUUAUGAACUUCAGAGAGACUCUGUGAAUACUCAGCAUUGUGCUUCUGACUCAACUGUGCUUUCAAGCUUUUCCUUGCAGAAGGGCUGAGGAACCUCUCAUUACACAGAGAUAUAUAUUUUGUAUAAACCUUGUGAAGAGAAGUCAUAAUCUACAUGUAUAUACUUUUUCAAAAAACUUGAAAAGAAAUGUUUAUCAAAAAGAAUUAAAUUAAUUAAUUUUGGGAUAAUUAAUCCC